rnacentral:rRNA from 1 species
GACGAACGCUGGCGGCGUGCUUAACACAUGCAAGUCGAACGGAAAGGCCCUGCUUUUGUGGGGUGCUCGAGUGGCGAACGGGUGAGUAACACGUGAGUAACCUGCCCUUGACUUUGGGAUAACUUCAGGCAACUGGGGCUAAUACCGGCUAGGAGCUCCUGCUGCAUGGUGUGGGUUGGAAAGUUUCGGCGGUUGGGGAUGGACUCGCGGCUUAUCAGCUUGUUGGUGGGGUAGUGGCUUACCAAGGCUUUGACGGGUAGCCGGCCUGAGAGGGUGACCGGCCACAUUGGGACUGAGAUACGGGCCAGACACCUACGGGAUGCAGCAGUGGGGAAUAUUACGCAAUGGGCGGAAGCCUGAUGCAGCAACGCCGCGUGCGGGAUGAUGGCCUUCGGUUUGUAAACCGCUUUCGCGUAUGACGAAGCGUGGGUGACGGUAAUGGGUAAAGAAGCACCGGCUAACUACGUG